GUCUAUGGCCAUACCACCCUGAAUGCACCCGACCUCAUAUGAUCUCAGUAGCUAAGCAGGUUAGGGCCUUGUUAGAACUUGGAUGGGAUAUAGCCUGGGAAUACCAUGUGCUGUAGUCU
ensembl:rRNA 5S_rRNA 5S ribosomal RNA